rnacentral:rRNA from 1 species
GGCAGAGGCCCCGAGCGUUAGGCGGAAUCACUGGGCUUAAAGCGUGUGUAGGCGGAUCGUUAAGUGUCUUGUGAAAUCCCACGGCUCACCCGUGGAACUGCUGGGCAUACUGGCGAUCUUGGGCCGUUCAGGGGCGACUGGAACAAGCGGUGGAGCGGUGAAAUGCGUAGAUAUCGCUUGGAACGCCAAAGGUGAAAACAGGUCGCUGGGGAUGUGCCGACGCUGAGACACGAAAGCCAGGGGAGCAAACGGG